rnacentral:rRNA from 1 species
UACAGAGGUCCCAAGCGUUGUUCGGAUUCACUGGGCGUAAAGGGUGCGUAGGUGGUGGGGUAAGUCGGAUGUGAAAUCUCCGAGCUCAACUCGGAAAUGGCAUUGGAAACUACCCUGCUCGAGGGUCGGAGGGGGGACUGGAAUGCUUGGUGUAGCAGUGAAAUGCGUAGAUAUCAAGCGGAACACCAGUGGCGAAGGCGAGUCCCUGGACGACUCC